AGUGAACGCUGGCGGUAGGCCUAACACAUGCAAGUCGAACGGCAGCACAGUAAGAGCUUGCUCUUACGGGUGGCGAGUGGCGGACGGGUGAGGAAUACAUCGGAAUCUACUUUUUCGUGGGGGAUAACGUAGGGAAACUUACGCUAAUACCGCAUACGACCUACGGGUGAAAGCAGGGGAUCUUCGGACCUUGCGCGAUUGAAUGAGCCGAUGUCGGAUUAGCUAGUUGGCGGGGUAAAGGCCCACCAAGGCGACGAUCCGUAGCUGGUCUGAGAGGAUGAUCAGCCACACUGGAACUGAGACCCGGUCCAGACCCCUACGGGAGGCAGCAGUGGGGAAUAUUGGACAAUGGGCGCAAGCCUGAUCCAGCCAUACCGGGUGGGUGAAGAAGGCCUUCGGGUUGUAAAGCCCUUUUGUUGGGAAAGAAAAGCAGCAGGUUAAAACCCCGCUGUUCGGACGGUACCCAAAGAAUAAGCACCGGCUAACUUCGU
rnacentral:rRNA from 1 species